rnacentral:sRNA from 1 species
UUCCACCGCCCUCCGUGGGCGUUUCCUCCCUGAACUUGGGCCGUGGCAAUCGCCAUGGCCCCUUUUUUUUGCCCCU